ensembl:Y_RNA Y_RNA Y RNA
UGCUGGUCCUAAGGUAGUGAGUUCUCUCAAUUGAUUGUUCACAGUCGCUUGCAGAUCAAACUCCUUGUUCUAUUCUUUCCCCUGUCUCAUCACUGCACUUGACUAGUCUCUA